AUAAAAAGUGUUGUGUACAGCAACCGAUUUCAUAAAUUUGCUUUCCGAGUAGCCCCUAAGUUGAGGGGCUUUUUUUAUGCC
rnacentral:ncRNA from 1 species